AACGAACGCUGGCGGCAUGCCUAACACAUGCAAGUCGAACGAGACCUUCGGGUCUAGUGGCGCACGGGUGCGUAACGCGUGGGAACCUGCCCUUAGGUUCGGAAUAACUCCCCGAAAGGGGUGCUAAUACCGGAUAAUGUCUUCGGACCAAAGAUUUAUCGCCUUUGGAUGGGCCCGCGUUGGAUUAGCUAGUUGGUAGGGUAAAAGCCUACCAAGGCGACGAUCCAUAGCUGGUCUGAGAGGAUGAUCAGCCACACUGGAAGUGAGACACGGCCCAGACUCCGCGGGGAGGCAGGAGGGGGGAAUAUUGAACAAGGGGGGAAAGCUUGACCCAGCAAGGCCGGGGGAGUGAGGAAGGCCUUGGGGUUGAAAAGCUUUUUUACCCGGGAGGAUAAUGACAGUACGGGGAGAAUAAGCCCCGCCUAACUCCGUG
rnacentral:rRNA from 1 species